UACAAUAAAAAAAAUGACAAGAAGGGUUUUGGUGAGAAAUUUAGCAAGAGAGGUUUGAAGAAAGUUGAGAAAAAUUUGGAGAUCGAAACCCUAACUCGGGAAAAUUUCCGAUACUAAUGGGUUCAUGGCUAGCCCUUUGAAUCCAGCACGAAUCUGAAUUUAAUCGGGCUUUAAUGUGGAUAUCGGACACUGAGCGGAACCAAAAAAAGAAAAAACCAAGUAAGCAAUCACAUCCUCUUCCUCAGGUUUGGCUCAAUUUGCCAUGUUUGGGUCUUACAUGAUGGAAAUUAGAAAACCACCAUUCUUCCUUGGUAUUGUUUUAUGGACGGAAAUCAGUCGGAAAACAUUGAAAGGUAUUUUCUUUUGGGUUUUCACCUAGUGUCUGAAGUUCACAUUGGAGCUGUGAUUAAAUCUGGAUGGUACACGGCAAGAGUUCAUUCGGAAUGCUCUCAACAAAAUUUUCUCCAUAUCCCGCUCUCGAGACCUAUGUUAAGGGUGAAGCAGAACUUUGAAAGGUCUAACGAAAACAACGUCUCUAUCUUCAAGAUAGAGGUAAGAUCUAUGUACACGUAACCCUUCCCGUACUCAAAUUUGUGGGAUUACAUUAAAUAUGUUGUUGUUGAACAAAAUUUAUAAACUUAAUUACAUUAGUUCUACUUCUUUAUUUUGGUAAUCUCAUGCAUCACCUGAUAACUCCAUUAUUUUAACUUGUUUAAAAUAGUCUGUAUCUGGGAAUUCAGUUGUACUCUCAUUGUCCCUUAAUGUUUUGUGUAUUAAAAUUGUUGGCACUUGAAGAGUGUUUGAUUUUAAAUGUGCUCUUGAUGUUUCAACAAUGUAGGCAUAAACCUUAUUAAGAUGUCACUAUAGUCCUUGAUUAGAUACGUAUUUCUUGUUUUCUUUUGUCUUGGUAGUGGGUUGGGGAUGAGCGUGACGGGGGUCGACCUUAAAGUUUGGGUACCACCAUGUUGAUCAAACAUGAUCCAUUGAACAUUAAAGAUUGGAUUGUGAUUUAUUAAUGCCUAUAAGUAGGAUUAUGUAUGUAAAAAGAAAUAGUCAAGGAUUUUUCAAUUUGGACCUUAUUUGAAGUUUGUGUUUAGUUAGUUAGUGUAAAUAAAUGGAUCUUGAGCCUAACUCAACCCCAAAAGCUAUAUUAUAAGGUGAUGAUUGUCCAGGUCUAUAUAAGGAGACCAAAUCUCCCACCCUAGUUGAUGUGGGACACUCAACACCACCCACUUGCUCAGGACUGGACAUUUGGUGUAUGAACAAUUUAAUAUGGGGACUCAACAUGGGUUAACCAUGAAUUGGGAUAGGUCUAGCUCCGAUACCAUGUAAAGAAUGGAUUUUAGGCCUAACUCAACCCUAAAAGUUAGUUUAUAAGUUGAUGAUAGAUCAAAUCUCCCAUCUCUAUACUUAGCUAAUGUGGACACUUAAGAGUUAGGAAGCUAAUCGUAGUUGGAAUACAAAUUGGCUGCAUUUAUUACUUUUCCGCUAUGUAAUCUAGUAAUUGGAUUGCCCUCAAAAACCCCUCUAGAGACUAAACAUUAGUAAUCAUUCAACACGGCUCUCUCAACCCAAGACAAGAGGUUAAGAGACAUAGUCUCUUGUUGAAAAAACACACAACAAAAAUAAGAAAGAACAUAAGUUAUGUAACACAUCAACAGCCUAGAAAGAUGAAAUCCGGUGUCAAUGGUACUGACUGUUCAAUUUUUAUUUGGUUGUAUAUUUGUUGAUUUUGAUUUUUUUUCCUGAGAUUUGUUUCACAUGAGUCAUGUGUCUUCAAAAUCUUCAGAUUUUAUAAAACUUGUUUCAGCUUUUAGUUUUUGCUUUAGAUUAUAAGAAGAUUGGAAAUAAAAAAAUCAGGAUUCUUCAUCCGGAACUUUUUUUUUUUUUAAAAAAAAAAAACAAUAAUUUGAACUGAAAUUAGUACUUCUUCAGAUAAGCUUUCUCCCUUUAUUUUUGGCAGAAUGAAACAAGGAUAUUUUGGGUACUGUUCAGUUGUUGUUGAGAUGCGUAUGAAAAUCAAGUUGUUCUUGCAGAAAAGAAGCCUGAAGAAACACAUCGGGAUUUCCUGAUUAUUGAUCAAGGACAGGAUAUUAGAGAAGAAGUUCUGACUUAUUUUCAGAACAGUACCAACAAUUCUGAAAAUUCUUAUGGUCACAGACGGAUGGGCUCGAUCUUGUCAGCUACUGGUUCAGUUUUGCACCCGAAUUCGAAUGAGGGUUCAUAUAAAAUAAAUUAUCUUUUGGGAAGAUUUAUUAUAUUUGAAGAUGGUCAUGUGCAGCAACAUGAAUCAUGGACAAUAUCCUGUGUUGGUUCAUCUUGUCUUGUUAUUACAAAUGAAGUUAAUGGUCGUUUGAUUGCAGCAGAGCCAGUCCAGGUUAUAGUUGGUACUUUUCCUAUAAAUUCAAGUACAUGAAGUGAAAAAUCGAAGAGUUGGAAGAACAUCUAGUUUACUACUAAUGUUUCUCCAUCAGCAUUUGUGCUUCAUUUCCAUCAAAAAACGGAUAACAUGUAGCCUAUAAUUUAUGGAAAACGUUAAAACUUGUUUUGAAUGAUCUGUUAUAGCUGAGUUCCUCUUUGUUGGCGUGUGUGAUUUGGCCAUGUAGUAAUAUGAGUUGCAGACUUCACAUUCCUCAGUGUGCAUUAUACAGGGGACUCUUGAAAAACUAUAAGAUGUGUUCUUUUUUCAAUUUA